rnacentral:rRNA from 1 species
UACGGGGGGAGCAAGCGUUGUUCGGAUUUACUGGGCGUAAAGGGCGCGUAGGCGGCCACCGCAAGUCAGUUGUGAAAUCUCUGGGCUUAACCCAGAACGGUCAGCUGAUACUGCGGGGCUAGAGUGCAGAAGGGGCAACUGGAAUUCUCGGUGUAGCGGUGAAAUGCGUAGAUAUCGAGAGGAACACCUGUGGCGAAGGCGGCUUUCUGGGCCUUACCUGACGCUGAGACGCGAAAGCGUGGGGAGCGAACCGG